rnacentral:rRNA from 1 species
AGAGUUUGAUCCUGGCUCAGAACGAACGCUGGCGGCGUGCCUAACACAUGCAAGUCGAACGGAGAUAAGGGGCUUGCUCCUUAUUUUAGUGGCGCACGGGUGAGUAACGCGUGGAUAAUCUACCUUGGAAUCUGGGAUAACAUUUCGAAAGGGGUGCUAAUACCGGAUAAGACCACGAUCUCUUUGGAGAUUGCGGUAAAAGGGGGCCUCUGUAUAUGCUUCUGUUUCAAGAUGAGUCCGCGUACCAUUAGCUAGUUGGCAGGGUAAUGGCCUACCAAGGCGACGAUGGUUAGCUGGUCUGAGAGGAUGAUCAGCCACACUGGAACUGAGACACGGUCCAGACUCCUACGGGAGGCAGCAGUGGGGAAUUUUGCGCAAUGGGGGAAACCCCGACGCAGCAACGCCGCGUGAGUGAUGAAGGCCUUCGGGUCGUAAAGCUCUGUCAGAGGGAAAGAAGUGUAUGGCGGUUAAUACCC